rnacentral:rRNA from 1 species
UACAGAGGUGGCAAGCGUUGUUCGGAAUUACUGGGCGUAAAGGGCGCGUAGGCGGUCCGAUAAGUCCCGUGUGAAAUCCCUCGGCUCAACUGAGGAAUGGCACGGGAAACUGCCGGGCUUGAGUUCGGGAGAGGGAAGCGGAAUUCCGGGUGUAGCGGUGAAAUGCGUAGAUAUGCGGAGGAACACCAGUGGCGAAGGCGGCCUCCUGGUACACUCCUGACACUCAGACGCGAAAGCUAGGGGAGCGAACGGG